rnacentral:lncRNA from 1 species
CACUUGCUCCAUAAGUAUCGAAGGCCCUUUUGAAUUUGGCCCCUCCCUUUGACUAAUUUUACAAUAUCUCCAAGAUUUGAAGACAAUUUGAAGCAGACAGGAAAAAAACUGCCGUGCUAUCGAAAGGCAGAGCAGAAAAGACGAUGUGUGGAGUCAUUGAGGUUUGUGGCUAAUAUCUGCAAGACGCUGUGCCCGCCUCUCAACUCUGCAGUUUUGUGUGACAAGCAGUCGAUGCAGUGAGAAAAUCCAUUUUGUCAGCUCAAUGAGCUGAGGGGACGCCCGUGGACACAGGCAAGUCACAGCCCUCUGAGCUCUCCCGUCGCUGCAGGGUAGCC